rnacentral:tRNA from 1 species
GCCAAGGUGGUGGAAUUGGUAGACACGCCACUUUGAGGGGGUGGUGCCGGUUGCGGUGUGCAAGUUCGAGUCUUGUCCUGGGCA